GGGGGGCGGGGAUUUGACCAGUAGCAACAGAUCUUUCAACCAAUCAUGACACAGUUUUUUUUCUGCUGUCAUGUCUUGUUUCAUCCAAUCGUAGUCCUGAGUCAUGCUAGACAGGCAGGCUAGAUGCUAAUUAGUUUUCACACCUCUGCCAUGCCCCAGGUGUGAAGUCUCACUCCCCCCCUUGCCCCACACACACACCCCCCAACUCCACAGACAUGAUUCAUUCAAGGUAUUUCUCCUCACCCGCCAGCUAGGCUAGGCUUCUCAGGCUAUGAACUUCAUAGCCUGAGAACAACCAAUAACUGUGGGGAACUUAGUAGGUUUUCAGUGAUUCACAGGGUCGAUAAUCUGGCUUUUCAUGCAGUGAGUGUUUUCUGUUGAUUAUUUUAAUACAUUACCGGGAACCUAAUUUCUGUGUCUUGUGUUCAUUAAUUUUCACACAGUUCCCAGAGCUGAACCUUUUCCAUAGUCUAGCCCUUAAGCCACCUAAUGGCAGCAUAUUUCCAUUGUAAGUGCUACACACACAACACAAGUAUUUGCAUUGUGAUUUGAGGAUUUGUUUCAUUUUUAAGGUUGGGGUAAAAACCUUGACAGGAACAAAAAAAAGAUGAAAAAUUUUAAAAGCAAUUCAACUAAAUUUUAUUUAUAUAGCGCCAAUUACAGUCAAAUUGUCUCAAGACACUUUACAGAACCCAUAUGCCUGAACCCCAGAGCAAGUCCCAAGGUGACGGUGGUAAGGAAAACACUCUUUUAACAGGGAAAUGAAAUACAAUAAAACAAAUCAUUUAAUACAAUUACGUUUUUAAAAAGAAAACUAAACAUUAAAAAAUACAAUUAAAUAAUUCAAAAUGAAUAUAAAACAUUAAAGACAAAAUAUUUAAUUAGAUAAUUAAACAUAAAAAAUACAAAACAUUCAAUUCCAAAAUUAAACACUAAAAAUACAAAUAAACAAUUAAAAAGAGUUGUAAACAUAGCAUAGCAGAUGGGACGAGGUUUUCUAAAGUUAAAUUCACUGAUUAUGUUCAGUCUCUACCAUAUUCAGCUAAAUUUAUGACCGUAACAGGACCAGAAUAUGUACGUGUGAUACAUGAUAGACAGGUAAAGGUGUGUAGAUUGUGUAUUCAGCCGGGCCACAUCCUCAGAGAGUGUCCUGAUUUUAAAUGUCAUGUGUGUGGGGAGCAGGGUCAUUACGCUAAGGAGUGUGACAUGAGAACGAGGGUGAGGCGAUGCGAGCUGUGUCCUAAUCAACUUGCAAAUUGUAUAUGUAACCAGGUGGUAAACAGAGGCAAUAAAACAAACUGAAAAAACCACUGAAAUGCCUGUUUGUGGCUCUUCUGCUGGUUCUCAUUUUGGACAGCAGGGGGCGUAUGGUCAUUGUUGUACCUCCGGUAGUUUGGAGGUCAGAGGGCAGAAUACCGGAAGUUGUGAUCGCAGAGACGGUCGGGGAUCAGGACCGUAAGAAAAAUGUAAAUCAUACUGCGAUAUGAAAGGCUGAAAUGUGAACUAUGAUGACGGAAUGGUGGAUUGUUUGUUAUUGACACUGGAGAUCCACUUUAUGUCUGUGUGUUGUGCUUAGGAGUGCCGAUGGUUGAAGGAUGGAAGCACUGUACAUGUGCCGCUGAUGCUAGUCGUCCGUGUGCUUGGUAUGGGAUUUCCAGUAUAUGAUUUUAUGCUCCUAGUUCCAUGAGAUAUGAGUGUGUUAUUAUAUGCAUUGUAUUUUUGUGUUGUUAAAGAUGAAAUAUUUGUAACUACUGUUUGUUACUGCAUUCUGUGCUUAGCACCAAGGCUUAUACAGAGCACUGUGGUAACUGUGUUUUUUUGUUUGUGCUAGGGGCCACAGCCGUAUGUUUCUUGUAUGUUUCUGGUUCGGAUACUGUUUCUAGUACUGUUGCUUAUAUAGUUGCUAAUGUAUUGUGCCCUAAGUUUUGGGGAAUACAUCUCAUUUUAGAAAUUCUAUUACUUGUAAAUAAAUUGGGAAACAAAGAACCCCCACAAAAAUUAAAUUUGAAGUAUUGGUGUCUGAUUUAACCCGGCUUCAUAUAUGCAACAAAAGUGAGAAUGAUGUUAGAGAGAACUCCGUUUCUGAGUCGGAGGAUGGAGGAAUGUGUGUGAGUGACCAGGAGGAAGAGGGACUGAACAGCCAAGAACGAGAGCAACUGGGUAUGACACUCACCGAUGCGAGGGGCUCCGGAGGCGUGGAGGUUCCUGGUCCUACACGGGCGAAGGAGGCUCAGCCGGAGAGCCGGAACCGGGAGGAGGCGGUGGAGAAACUGGUCUGUGAGGAGCCACAGUGUGCUCUGGAUGGAGUGGAUGAGACGGAAGAAAUGCCUGAUGACACUGUCCCUGAGUCACAGUCUCAAAUUCCGCUGGGGGGAACCCGGUCAUGAGGCUGUCAUCCUCUGACUCGGAAAUGGAGCUCUUGGAGCUCAUAUCUUUCAAUGCGUGUGGGCUCCGCACAGAAGCUUCUCUUGCUGAUACCCUGACUUCAUGGAGGAGGUGAGUCAGUUCAAUAAAGUUUUUCUGUGUUAGUGAAGUUAACAGUGUUGUGUGUUUAGUUAGUGGCUGGAACAUCAUGAUAUGUUUUUGGAGAAAGUCCUAUCAUAUGGUAUUCCUUUCUAACUAAGCACUAAACAUCAAAAAUGUCCUCUUCUUUCCCAGUAUUUUACAGUAGAAAACAGGAUUCAGUCAUCUCACAUUAAAUCUGAUAUUCUAAUGGUGUUUAAAACAGUUUAAUUCUUUCAGAUGCUUGAUGGUGUUGAAGGAUUUUAGGAGCGAAUAAAUAACAAAUACAUGAAACAUCCUUCACUCCGAUAAUUAGGCUUACUGCAAAUCUCAUAAAGACAAGAGGCACAAAGUGUCAGUCUCUGGUUUAGGGUUAAAUCAAUAUUUACAGCCAAUAGAAUCUGUUAUUGACACAUAUCUUUAUUCUGUAGAGCAGAGCUGUCAAACUCAUUUUAGUUCAGGAGCUACAUUCAGCACAGUUUGAUCUCAAGUGACCAGUAAAAUAAUAACCUAUAAUAUUUCCCUGUGUUUUAGUGCAAAAAAAUACAUUCUGAAAGUGUUCACGUUUAACAAACUGUCUUUUACUUGAAGUUUUUAAAUGAAAAUAAGUGCAAUUUCAACAUCAUUAUGCCUCAGUUUAUCAUUUAUACACAAAUUACAGAUCACAGAGUGUCUAGAAAGGCACAAAAUAUUCAGUUGCAGAUAUCUGGAACUCAGUGAUGUAGUAUUUUACUUUGUGAUCGCAACAACUUGUCAAGAUAUGGAAAUGAUUUUAAUUUGAUAUUCAUUUCCACGUGUAGUAAUCCUGACACCACAGCAUACAAACUAAACAGGAACUAUUAAGGAAGAAGUUUCGGUUAUCUCCCUGCCUUGUAAAUGGAGAAAAUUUAGAAACAUGUAAUUUUUUAUUUUUUAAAAAUGCAUAAAAGUUGUGUUGGUGCAUGAACUGAGGCUGCUGACUGACCUUAUAUUGCACAAUGUUCAAUGUCUUUAAAUAUUUUCACAGUAAGGAUUCAUCUGUCGAUCUAUCUAUACCUGAAACCUCAUCCUCUGUAUAUAGUCUUCUACAUGUUUUUUUUUGUUUAAAGAAUAAAAUCAUCUGUAUAUAAUGCUAUGGGA